CGUAGGGUGCGAGCGUUAAUCGGAAUUACUGGGCGUAAAGCGUGCGCAGGCGGUUUGUUAAGAUAGGCGUGAAAUCCCCGGGCUCAACCUGGGAACUGCGCUUAUGACUGGCAAGCUAGAGUACGGCAGAGGGGGGUGGAAUUCCACGUGUAGCAGUGAAAUGCGUAGAGAUGUGGAGGAACACCAAUGGCGAAGGCAGCCCCCUGGGUCGAUACUGACGCUCAUGCACGAAAGCGUGGGUAGCAAACAGGAUUAGAUACCCUGGUAGUCCACGCCCUAAACGAUGUCAACUAGGUGUUGGGUCUUUACUGACUCAGUAACGAAGCUAACGCGUGAAGUUGACCGCCUGGGGAGUACGGCCGCAAGGUUG
rnacentral:rRNA from 1 species